rnacentral:rRNA from 1 species
UACGUGGGGUGCGAGCGUUGUCCGGAAUUAUUGGGCGUAAAGGGCUCGUAGGCGGUUUGUCGCGUCGGGAGUGAAAUCCACUGGCUUAACUGGUGGCUUGCUUUCGAUACGGGCAGACUGGAGGCAUGCAGGGGAGAGCGGAAUUCCUGGUGUAGCGGUGAAAUGCGCAGAUAUCAGGAGGAACACCGGUGGCGAAGGCGGUUCUCUGGGCAUGUCCUGACGCUGAGGAGCGAAAGUGUGGGGAGCGAACAGG